rnacentral:rRNA from 1 species
UACGGGGGGGCAAGCGUUGUUCGGAAUUACUGGGCGUAAAGGGCGCGGUAGGCGGCCCUCUAAGUCAGACGUGAAAUCCCUCGGCUCAACCGGGGAACUGCGUCUGAUACUGGAGGGCUUGAAUCCGGGAGAGGGAUGUGGAAUUCCAGGUGUAGCGGUGAAAUGCGUAGAUAUCUGGAGGAACACCGGUGGCGAAGGCGGCAUCCUGGACCGGUAUUGGACGCUGAGGCGGCGAAAAGCUAGG